AACGAACGCUGGCGGCAUGCCUAACACAUGCAAGUCGAACGAGACCUUCGGGUCUAGUGGCGCACGGGUGCGUAACGCGUGGGAACCUGCCCUUAGGUUCGGAAUAACUCCCCGAAAGGGGUGCUAAUACCGGAUAAUGUCUUCGGACCAAAGAUUUAUCGCCUUUGGAUGGGCCCGCGUUGGAUUAGCUAGUUGGUAGGGUAAAAGCCUACCAAGGCGACGAUCCAUAGCUGGUCUGAGAGGAUGAUCAGCCACACUGGGACUGAGACACGGCCCAGACGCCUAGGGGAGGCAGCAGGGGGGAAUAUUGAAGAAUGGGGGAAGGCGGGAUCAAGCAAUGCCGGGUGAGUGAAGAAGGCGUUAGGGUUGUAAACCUCUUUCCCCCGGGAUGAAAAUGACGGUACCGGGAGAAGAAGCCCCGGCUAACUCCGUG
rnacentral:rRNA from 1 species